GAUUGAGUGUAGUCUGGCCCAGGAGUGUGAAGGUGAACGGAAAGGCUCUGGAGCAACGAACCGCCCUUGCUGUCUCUGUCUGGCCGGUUCCCCUCUUUCCACUGGGAUUCUCUGCCUCUAACCCUAUUACAGGGGCUGAGUCACUGGCUUACUGGUGCUCUUUCAUGUCGUCCUUAGGAGGGGUGCAUCACUUGAGUGGGUUGAGUCACGGAUGUGAUCUUCCUGUCUGGGUUGGCGCCCCCCCUUGGGUUGUGCCGUGGCAGAGAUCUUUGUGGGCUAUACUCGGCCUUGUCUCAGGAUGGUAAGUUGGUGGUUGAAGAUAUCCCUCUAGUGGUGUGGGGGCUGUGCUUUGGCGAAGUGGGUGGGGUUAUAUCUUGCCUGUUUGGCCCUGUCCGGGGGUAUCAUCGGAUGGGGCCACAGCACAGUGUCUCCUGACCCCUCCUGUCUCAGCCUCCAGUAUUUAUGCUGCAGUAGUUUAUGUGUCGGGGGGCUAGGGUCAGUUUGUUAAAUCUGGAGUACUUCUCCUGUCUUAUCCGGUGUCCUGUGUGAAUUUAAGUAUGCUCUCUCUAAUUCUCUCUUUCUCUUUGUCUCUCUGAGGACCUGAGCCCUAGGACCAUACCUGGCAUAAUGACUCCUUGCUGUCCCCAGUCCACCUGGCCGUGCUGCUGCUCCAGUUUCAACUGUUCUGCCUGUGAUUAUUAUUAUUUGACCAUGCUGGUCAUUUAUAAACAUUUGAACAUCUUGACCAUGUUCUGUUAUAAUCUCCACCCGGCACAGCCAGAAGAGGACUGGCCACCCCUCAUAGCCUGGUUCCUCUCUAGGUUUCUUCCUAGGUUUUGGCCUUUCUAGGGAGAUUUUCCUUGCCACCGUGCUUCUACACCUGCAUUGCUUGCUGUUUGGGGUUUUAGGCUGGGUUUCUGUACAGCACUUUGAGAUAUCAGCUGAUGUACGAAGGGCUAUAUAAAUAAAUUUGAUUUGAUUUGUUGCUGCAACCAUCUGUCUUAUGUAACCAUACCAAAUUUAACAUAUCAUACUAAAUGGAGUGUCUCGGAUUUACUUACAGAAUAAUAUGAAAUGCUCUGAGACCAGGCUGCAACUGUUUCCCGUAUGUAUCAAGAAUGGUACACCAGUCAACGGACAUGCAGCCAACUUGACACAACUGUGGGAAGAGUGUGGAGUCGACAUGGGCCAGCAUCCCUGUGGAACGCUUUUGACACAUUGUGGAGUCCAAACCCUGAAGAAUUACGGAUGUUCUGAGGGCAAAAGGGGAAGCAACUCAAUAUUGGGAAGGCGUUCCUAAUGUUUCGUAUAUUCAGUGUACGUUCACAAUACAAUCCUUUGACUUGAAUUCAACAGUUUGAAUACAACAGUGUCAGCAUUAUUCUAUUAUUACGCACUUUGCCCAAAUUAUUUCGAGGUCUCUAAAGUGUCCAUACCCCAUUGAUUGGGGUACAUCUUACCUAAACCUGUCCACAUUGAUACCAUGCGCAAAUAGUUUCUCUCCAACGAAACCGAAAGAAAGUGAAAAUGUGAUUGAUCGCGGAAGUUUUUCUCGACUUGAUGGGACUGGAGUUUGGUGAAAUCCUAAGCCCACCGCCAGCAACCCAUGACGGAGAGGGAAACUAAAGACGACAACGGGGAUUCAGCAAUGUUGGUAACCACGCAUCUUCGGGAAAACCACUGCACAUCCUGGGUCCGCUUGCCAACGCUUAGACUUUUUUCAUUAAACCAUAUUUAAACAACCACAUAGGCGACUUACCGUUUGGAUACAAUGUACGCAGCCCUACCAUGAAUAACUCCCACCGCUCUUGCUGGCCCCCGAGGACAGGGAUUUGCUCGUCUGAAGAACAUUUAUAGAAAAUGAUAAAUGUGUGUGAACGGGCCUGUGCUCCGUAGCGUCUUGGUGUUUCUGCUGUUGGGUGUCUCCUACACUAAGCACAGGUGCAACUAUUCGGAGAUACUCGGCUCAUACAGAGAACUCAUCUUCGUUGAACUUCAGAAUUUGAAUCUGACUGGCAAUUUUGACACGUCCAAAGAGAGGGACCGUUGUCCCUCAGGAAAGGUAGUGUGCGUGUGCGUGUGCGUGUGCGUGUGCGUGUGUGUGUGUGUGUGUGUGUGUGUGUGUGUGUGUGUGUGUGUGUGUGUGUGUGUGUGUGUGUGUGUGUGUGCGUGUGCGUGUGUGUGUGAAAGAGAGACCAUCUAUACUGAAUGGGACCCUCAAGUUUCAGCACCAUGGACAGGGGAUGUAGCUAAUGCUUUUCUGUGACAACAAUUACCCCUAUGGCCUUGCCUUAUACCCUUAUACUGCAAUAAGGACUUGAUUUGGUUGUUUGAUUUGCUGAAUGAAUGACUGAUUGAAGGUAUACAAUAAAAUGUGUGUCUGAUGAUAACACACGCAUUACACAUGUAUCUCCUAUGUGUAUCUAUUAUUUAUCUAUUACUGUUUUCCUAUGCUUGUUAAUGGCAGGUGCAGCACGUUUUGCGCUCCAUCCAUGGUAUGACUCAGCAGUUCCUGUGCCAGAGCCGCAGGCAGGGCAUUAGACAACAGGGGGACAUGGAGAAACCAGUGGAGAUGAUGGAACAGCUGAUCAGACAGAACUGCAAACACACUAACCUGGUGAGAGGACAGAAGAGAGCCGCCCUGUGUGUGACUUCCCAGAGAACGAAGGGAAAGAAGAAGAAGAGGAUAAGGGCACUGAUAAACUGUUGGCAGAAGCUGCAGAGUGUGUACUUGCCCACAAAAUGAAUGGGAAAUACUAUGUUUUUCUUUGUUUUGGUGUUUUGGCAACCACACUGUGAACAGUUGAACACAUGCACAGAUAUUGCAGAAAUGCUGCAUCUCGCUCAUCUCAAUAUCUCCGGUGCUGCUCGAGGCGAUGACAUUCUACCUUUAAUAAUGGUUGUUAGAGGAUGGUAUACAAUGCAAUUCAAAUAUUUACUUGUAAUACUUUGUGCACACACAUAAAAAAUAUAUUAUCUCAUAAUCCAGAGAUUGCGAUUCCUUUUCUUAAACAUAUAUUUGGUAUUUGGCGUCAGCUAGUCUUACUGGGGUUCGACACAUAAUGAAAAAGACAUAACAGAAAAAAACACUAACAUGUAGUGCAUCUAUCAGUUAGACAUACAGUUGAAUUCGAACGUUUACAGACACUUAGGUUGGAGUCAUUAAAAUCCGCUUUUCAACCACUCCACACAUUUCUUGUUAACAAACUAUAGUUUUGGUAAGACGGUUAGGACAUCUACUUUGGCUUUAGAAGCUUCUGAUAGGCUAAUCGAUAUCAUUUGAGUCAAUUGGAGGUGUACCUGUGGAUGUAUUUCAAGGCCUACCUUCAAACUGCCUGAUUCUUUGAAUUUUCCCAUGAUGUCAAGCGAAGAUCAAAUCAAAGUGUGUUUGUCACGUGCGCCGAAUAUAACAGUGAAAUGCUGACUUACAGGCUCUAACCAAUAGUGCAAACAUGGUAUUAGGUGAACAAUAGGUAGGUAAAGAAAUAAAACAACAGUUAAAAGACAGGAUAUAGAAGUAGCGAGGCAACAUACAGACACCGGUUAGUCAGGCUGAUUGAGGUAGUCUGUACAUGUAGAUAUGGUUAAAGUGACUAUGCAUAUAUGAUGAACAGAGAGUAGCAGUAGCAUAAAAGAGGGGUUGGCGUGUGAUGGGUGGGACACAAUGCAGAAAGCCUGGUUAGCCAAUGUGUGGGAGCACUGGAUGUUCGGCCCAAUUGAGGUAGUAUGUGCAUGAAUGUAUAGUUAAAGUGAGUAUGCAGAUAUGAUAAACAGAGAGUAGCAGCAGUGUAAAAAGAGGGGUUGGGGGGGAGCACACAAUGCAAAAAGUCCGGGUGGCCAUUUUAUUACCUGUUCAGGUGUCUUAUGGCUUGGGGGUAAAAACUGUUGAGAAGCCUUUUUGUCCUAGACUUGGCACUACGGUACCGCUUGCCAUGCAAUAGUAGAGAGAACAGUCUAUGACUGGGGUGGCUGGGGUCUUUGACAAUAUUUAGGGCCUUCCUCUGACACCGCCUGGUGUAGAGAUCCUGGAUGGCAGGCAGCUUAGCCCCAGUGAUGGACCUGGCCUGUCUUGGUGUGUUUGGACCAUUCUAGUUUGUUGUUGAUGUGGACACCAAGGAUCUUGAAUCUCUCAAACUGCUCCACUACAGCCCCGUCGAUGAGAAUGGGGGCGUGCUCGGUCUUCCUUUUCCUGUAGUCCACAAUAAUCUCCUUAGUCUUGGUUACGUUGAGGGAUAGGUUGUUAUUCAGGUCUCUGACUUCCUCCCUAUAGGCUGUCUCAUCGUUGUCGGUGAUCAGGCCUUCCGCUGUUGUGUCGUCUGCAAACUUAAUGAUGAUGUUGGAGUCAUGCCUGGCCAUGCAGUCGUGGGUGAACAGGGAGUACAGGAGGGGACUGAGCAUGCACCCCUGGGGAGCUCCCUUGCUGAGGGUCAGCGUGGCAGAUGUGUUGAUACCUACCCUCAACCCCUGGGGCGGCCCGUCAGGAAGUCCAGGAUCCAGUUGCAGAGAGAGGUGUUUAGUCCCAGGAUCCUUAGCUUAUAGAUGAGCUUUGACGGCACUAUGGUGUUGAACGCUGAGCUGUAGUCAACGAAUAGCAUUCUCACAUAUGUGUUCCUUUUAUCCAGGUGGGAAAGAGCAGUGUGGAGUGCAAUAGAGAUUGCAUCAUCUGUGGAUCUGUUUGUGCGGUAUGCAAAUUGGAGUGGGUCUAGGGUUUCUGUGAUAAUGAUGUUGAUGUGAGCCAUUACUAGCCUUUCAAAGCACUUCAUGGCUACGGACGUGAGUGCUACGGGUCUGUAGUCAUUUAGGCAGGUUGCCUUUGUGUUCUUGGGCACGGGGACUAUGGUUGUCUGCUUGAAAUAUGUUGGUAUUACAGACUCAAUCAGGGACAUGUUGAAAAUGUCAUUGAAGACACUUGCCAGUUGGUCAGCACAUGCCCGGAGCACACGUCCUGGUAAUCCGUCUGGCCCCGCAUCCUUGUGUAUGUUGACCUGUUUAAAGGUCUUACUCACGUCGGCUACAGAGAGCGUGAUCACACAGUCGUCCGGAACAGCUGAUGCUCUCAUGCAUGCCUCAGUGUUGCUUGCCUCGAAGCGAGGCUAGAAGUGAUUUAGCUUGCGUGGUAGGCUCGUGUCACUGGGCAGCUCGUGGCUGUGCUUCCCUUUGUAGUCUGUAAUAGUUUGCAAGCCCUGCCACAUAAGACGUGCAUCGGAGCCUGUGUAGUAUGAUUCAAUCUUAGCCCUGUAUUGACUCUUUGCAUGUUUCAUGGUUCGUCGCAGGGCAUAGCAGGAUUUCUUGUAAGCUUCCGGGUUAGAGUCGCUCACCUUGAAAGCGGCAGCUCUACCCUUUAGCUCAGUGCGAAUGUUGCCUGUAAUCCAUGGCUUCUGGUUGGUGUAUGUACGUAUAGUCACUGUGGGGACAACGUCCUUGAUGCACUUAUUGAUAAAGCCAAUGACUGAUGUGGUGUACUCCUCAAUGUCAUCGGAAGAAUCCCGGAACAUGUUCCAUUCUGUGAUAGCAAAGCAGUCCUGUAGUAUAGACCGAGUCACUGGUGCUUUCUGCUUUAAUUAAGCAGUUGUGGUCGGAUUUACCAAAUGGAGGGCGAGGGAGAGCUUUGUACGUGUUUCUGUGUGUGGAGUACAGGUGAUCUAGAAUGUUUUUUUUCUCUGGUUGCACAUUUAACAUGUUGAUAAAAAUUUGGUAGAACUGAUUUAAGUUUCCCUGCAUUAACGUCUCCGGCCACUAGGAGCGUUGCCUCUGGGUGAGUGGUUUCCUGUUUGCUUAUUUCCUUAUACAGCUGACUGAGUGCGGUCUUAGUGCCAGCAUCUGUCUGUUGUGGAAAAUAAACAGCCACAAAAAGUAUACUGUAGCUGAGAACUCUCUAGGCAAGUAGUGUGGCCUGCAAUUUAUCACAAUAUACUCUUCUUCAGGCAAGCAAAAUCAAGAGACUUCCUUAGAUUUAGUGCACCAGCUGUUGUUUACAAAUAUGCACAGACCCCCCCCCCAUCCCUCGUCUUACCGGAGUGUGGUGUUCUAUCUUGCCGCUGCAGCGUAUAUCCCGCUAGCUGAAUAUCCAUGUCGUCAUUCAGCCAUUAUUCCAUGAAACAUAGGAUAUUACAGUUUUUGAUGUCCCUUUGGUAGGAUAUUCGUGAUCGUACCUCGUCUAAUUUAUUCUCCAAUGAUUGCACGUUGGCGAGUAGUAUUGACGGUAAUGACAGCUUUCCCAGUCACCUUCUCCGGGUCCUGACCAGGCAUCCGGCUCUUUGUCCUCCGUACCUGUGUCGCUUCCUCUUGCAAAUAAUGGGGAUGUCGGCCCUGCUGGGUGUUUGGAGAAUGUCUUGUACGUCUUGUUUGUUGAAGAAAAAAUCUUUGUCUAAUCCGAGGUGAGUGAUCGCUGUCCUGAGUGAUCGCUGCUCUUUUUUUGACGUAAGAUAAGGUUGCAGAAACAUUAUGUACAAAAUAAGUUAGAAAUAACGCGAAGAAAAACACAUAGAAUGCCCGUAAAACUGCUGCCAUUUCUUCUGGCGACAUUUUAACAGAACUUCCAACUUCAACUGUCCAUCCAGUUUGAUUUCUAAUUGGGUGUAGGCAAAACCUUAAUUAAGCAAAUAGGUAAACUGUGAUAUGACUAAAGAGUUUGUAAGGGUGAUUUUUCCACAAAUAGACAGGUAUUUUCCUUUUCAUGGUAGCAAGAUUGCAUCUAUUUUGUUAACUUUCUAUAAAAAUAUAUUAGAGUGAGAUCAUUUAUUUAUUUCGGGAUAUGUACACCGAGUAUGUCCACAUCUCUGUCAGACCAUUUUAUUGGUAAACUACAUGGUAAUGUAAGAGAUGUAUUUUCUUGUGAUCCAAUACAGUACACUUAUCAUAAUUAGAUUUUAAUCCAGAGGUUAGAAAAAGUAUCUUGAUCCUCUAAGAGGCCGUGGAGAGAUUCUAAUUGUGGAUUUAAAAGAAAACAUGAAUCAUCAGUGUACAACGACACCUUUGUUUUUAAGCCCUGGAUUUCUAAUCCCAUAAAAUUAUUGUUGGAUUUAAUUUUAAC
ensembl:lncRNA